AUGGCCGAGCUGUGGGGCUCCGUCGUCGUGUCCGUGCUGUUCUGGGGCUUUGCCAACCAGAUCACCACCGUGGAGGAGGCCUCGCAGUUCUACCCCCUGUUCGGUCUGGGCGCCAACGUUGCCCUGAUCUUCUCGGGCCAGGCCGUGAAGUACUUCUCGCAGGUGUGUCAGUCUGCUUGGUGGGAGGAUUGCGUGGGCAUGUAAUGUGGACAGCACGGGUACUGAUUGCACGGGUAUAGUAGAAGUCCCGUUGGGGUCUACUUCAUGGCCCUGCGCAGGCGCACGAGUUUUGUGCUCGAGUUUUGUGCUAUGCAUAAUUGCGCAAGGCCGCUUGUUUCUGGAUGUGACCGUCGUGCCGCUUGUGCUGACCGGCCUCCUUUUGCCCCUCGCACCCUCAGGUCCGCGCCGGUCUGCCCCCGGAUGUUGAUGGCUGGGGUGUGUCCCUGAACGGCCUGAUGGGCAUGGUCGUCAUCGGCGGCCUGCUCAUUAUCGGCAUCUACUUCUCGCUGCAGCGCCUGGUGGUGCCCAAGCUGAAGUCGCUGCGCGAGGGCAAGAAGAAGAAGAACAAGACCAAGAUGAGCGUGGGCGAGUCCUUCGCCUUCCUGGCCCAGUCGAGCUACAUCCGCGACAUGGCCACCCUGGUGGUCGCCUACGGUAUCUCGAUCAACCUGGUCGAGGUGACCUGGAAGGGCAAGCUCAAGGCCCAGUUCCCCAACCCCAACGACUACUCGUCGUUCAUGGGCGAGUUCUCCACCGCCACCGGUACCGUGACCUUCACCAUGAUGAUCCUGUCCCGCUGGAUCUUCAAGCAGUUCGGCUGGGGUGUGGCUGCCCUGAUCACCCCCAUCAUGCUGCUGAUCACCGGUCUGCUGUUCUUCACCCUGGUGCUGGCCGGCGACACCGUCAAGCCCGCUCUGGCCGCCUGGGGCAUGACCCCCCUGUACGCCGCCGUGCUGGUCGGCGCCGCCCAGAACGUCUUCUCCAAGUCGUCCAAGUACUCCCUGUUCGACCCCUGCAAGGAGAUGGCCUACAUCCCCCUGGAGGACGAGGUCAAGACCAAGGGCAAGGCCGCCAUUGACGUGAUCUGCAACCCGCUGGGCAAGUCCGGCGGUGCCCUGAUCCAGCAGUUCAUGAUCAUCGGCCUGGGCUCGCUGGCCGCCUCGACCCCGUACCUGGGCGCCAUCCUGUGCGUCAUCAUCGUGGCCUGGAUCAACGCCGCCGCCUCGCUGAACAAGCAGUUCACGGCGCUGCAGGAGGAGACCGGCAUGUACAUCACCGGCGAGAAGCCCGCCAACAAGUCCGAGAAGAAGGACUAAGCGGCUCGGCCCUGACCGUGGUAGAGGGUCAGCCGUGACCAGACGCCCUGACGGGUCGGCCUGGGUGGUGGUGGUGUGUAGACGAGAGAGGUGAGAGAUCAGACGGCCUCGGCGGAGCUCGUGAAGAUUGGCCAUUGACGCAUUCAGUUGGUGCUGGAGACUCAUGACGAAGACACGGACUCAGGAGGACUGGUGGGCGCACUGCGGUCGGCACCCGGCGACGGCCUGUCUUGAGGAGUCGAGGGCGCGCGAUGGAGCAGCUGCAGCAGCGGGACGUAGUAGGGCACGUGCAUGCGCGACGCCGCGUGCGCGGUUUUAAGCUCUUGACUUGCGAGGGAGGGUGUGCUCUUGUUUUCCAUGGCCGGCGGG
rnacentral:lncRNA from 1 species